rnacentral:rRNA from 1 species
UGAGGAAUAUUGGUCAAUGGACGCAAGUCUGAACCAGCCAAGGAGCGUGCAGGAUGACGGCCCUAUGGGUUGUACACUGCUUUUAUAUGGGGAUAAAGUUGGGAACGUGUUCCCUUUUGCAGGUACCAUAUGAAUAAGGACCGGCUAAUUCCGUGCAGCAGCCGCGGUAAUACGGAAGGUUCGGGCGUUAUCCGGAUUUAUUGGGUUGAAAGGGAGCGUAGGCCGUUUGGUAAGCGUGUUGUGAAAUGUAGGAGCUCAACUUCUAGAUGGCAGCGCGAACUGUCAGACUUGAGUGCGCACAACGUAGGCGGAAUUCAUGGUGUAGCGGUGAAAUGCUUAGAUAUCAUGAAGGACGCCGAUUGCGAAGGCAGCUUACGGGCGCGCAACUGACGCUGGAGCUCGAAGGUGCGGGUAUCGAACAAG